UACAGAGGGUGCGAGCGUUAAUCGGAAUUACUGGGCGUAAAGCGCGCGUAGGCGGUUUUGCAAGUCGGGUGUGAAAGCCCCGGGCUCAACCUGGGAAUUGCAUUCGAUACUGUGUGGCUAGAGUUCGGCAGAGGGAAGUGGAAUUCUGGUAUAGCGGUGAAAUGCGUAGAUAUCAGAAGGAACAUCAGUGGCGAAAGCGACUUCCUGGACCAGAACUGACGAUCAGGCACGAAAGCGUGGGGAGCAAACAGG
rnacentral:rRNA from 1 species